AGCUGCGACUGAGGAUGGCCGCAGGAGCAGCUCCUAGACUGCGGAUGGCGGCAGGAGCAGCCUAGCCUGCGGAGAGGCUACUGAAUGAAUGACCAUGUCUCACAAGAUUCCAUGCAAGUGAAAAUGAAGUUCAGCUCUAUGAAGACUUCAGCGACAAUCAUGUUUUAAGAAGGUUGACUUUGAACACAGGAGCAGCAUCUGCCAUUGCUCCUUCACAAAAUUUGUGAGAAGGCAGAUGGAGUUUUGUUAUGUUUCCCAACAUUAUCUCAAACUCCUUGCCAAAGAGAUCCUCUUGCCUGAAUGUAUUGAUGGGAUGACAGGAACCUGUCACACUUCCAGACACAAUGUAAUUUGUGAGGAUGUAUGUCAUGGGUUUCUUGUGAUAAAACCACUGGACUCUUCAGGGAAGUCUUCCAGGACUGUGGACAGAGAGGAGGCACACACAGCAAUGCAGACCAAUUCUUUGUGGUACUCUUUGGCUAAUUAUCUAUAUACCAGCUUUUUAAAUUUAGGGUUUUUUUUCUAUUAAGUUUUUGGUGUUACUAAUACAUUUGAAUAUUAAUUCUUUAUUCAGUGUAGGGUUUGAAAAUAUUUUCUCCCAUUUCAGAAGAUACCUCUUAAAUCCUUUGUUUGUGCUUUCUUUGUUGUCAGCAAACUUUUUAAUAAAGUCUUACUUCCAUAUUUUUGAUUUGUUGGG
rnacentral:lncRNA from 1 species